rnacentral:lncRNA from 1 species
AUCGAGUGCAAGUGGAGGACAUGAAAAUAUCAGGAUACAAGAGCCAUGAUGCUCAUUUCAUAAUGCAUUACUUGCUCCAAGUUGCGGUUAUAAAAGUGUUACCCAAGAAUGUCUCUUUGGCCUUGAUUAGGUUGGAAAAUUAUUUUAGAACCAUAUCUAGUAAGGUAAUACCAAGAAUGUCUCUUUGGCCUUGAUUAGGUUGGGAAAUUAUUUUAGAACCAUAUGUAGUAAGGUUAUAAGGUAAAGUGAUCUUGAUAAAAUGCAGUCUGAAAUUAUAGAGAUAUCAUGUGACCUCGAAAC